AGGGAAUAUUGCACAAUGGAGGAAACUCUGAUGCAGCGACGCCGCGUGAGUGAUGAAGGCCUUCGGGUCGUAAAGCUCUGUCGCAGGGGAAUAACACAAUGAAGGUACCCUGUAAGAAAGGAUCGGCUAACUUCGUGCCAGCAGCCGCGGUAAGACGAGGGAUCCUAGCGUUGUUCGGAGUUAUUGGGCGUAAAGCGGGUGUAGGUGGCUAUGUAAGUCAAGUGUGAAAGCCUGGGGCUCAACCCCAGAAGUGCAUUUGAUACGGCGUAGCUUGAGUGCUGGAGAGGUUACUAGAAUUGUUGGUGUAGUGGUGAAAUACGUAGAUAUCAACAGGAAUACCGGUGGCGAAGGCGGGUAACUGGCCAAGCACUGACACUCAGACCCGAAAGCGUGGGGAUCAAAC
rnacentral:rRNA from 1 species